AGCAUGAAGUAUACAUUUGCUUUAAUUAUCUAUGUAUGCUCUAUGCCACAUCUGCCAUGUACUACUUUAAAGCCAUGUACAGGCCUGUACAGGGACACUCAGCACAGUGUCACAUAUGUAGAUCUAAGCACCUGAGUCAUUUUCAAGGACACUUGCUUUUGGGGUCCCAGAGCCUAGGACAGUCAUUUGAAUCUGCUGUACACACGUUCUCAAAAACACCCACCCCAAGUGGUGUGUUUACUGAUCAUGCCAUCUCAGAGUGAAUGUCACCGCCAACCUAACCAGAGAUACACAGCGAGUGCCCUCCAGGAAGGUCCUUAACCUUUCCAGCAUCCUUAGAUGAUCUGUUCUUGCUCCAUCAAACAAGUGAGCAGAGGAAUGUGGCCCUCAGAACAAUUGCAUCCAGGGAGCGAAGACUGAAUCUGGUCUCAGGCAGGGUAAAGAUUUGUCUCCGCCUCACUCUCCCUGAGUGGUCAGAAAGCGGCCCUGUGAUGGUGAGCAGUCUAAAGGUGGAGGUGCGUGCAAGUGCCCGGUGUGAGCAGGUCAGCCCCGCGCUGGUCAGCUCUUCACUGACUCCCUCCACUGCAGAUCUGGAAGUGUGGGUGCUGUACUCAGACAGGAAUGUCAUCAAGCCGAAGAGCACCUUCUACUGGAGUUCAGAUGAGGUCAGGAAGUGGCUAAGAAGAGAUCCAUGAAGAUUAACAUUCAGUGCUCAAUUUCUGAAGGAAACAGGGAGUGAAAGGCCGUGGAAGAAAACAGGGCUGCCACGAACAUGCUCUUGGCUGUUUGAAAAGAUCCAGCGCAGCUUGAACUUCAAAAAUAACUCCAUUCACUAUGGUUGCAGUUGGGCUUGGGGAAUUUCUCACAAUCAAAAGCAGCUGCUUCAUCUCAUUUAGCCAUUAGGCUGAGCUCCACAGGCUCGCUGCAGGAUCUUAGAGCCUACAAGGCCCUGCUAAGAGUAGCCGCGUUUUCCAGCAUGCAGUAGAUCAGCGAGUGUUUACAUUUGUGUUUGGAAUGCUCAUGAGUCCUUUGGGGCAAAGACUGAGUCAUUAAUCAGAGCUUUCUAUGAACGUAUUGCUGCCCAAGCCUCUGUGAAUGUGAGUACGGCCUUGUCCCCUGAGUGACGCUGAAAGAGAGUGAAGCACAUGUGCUCCAUAGGACUGCCACGGCCACCCCUCUCAUUCACUUUUCCAUUCAGCGCUGAGACUAAGUUUAACUCAUUUUUCUUUUGUUGUGAAAAGAGAAUGCACACAAAAAUUCAAAUGUUACCAAAUCGAUAUCAGGUUGGAAGCUGAUUCCCCUUGCCUGAGUCCGGGCUGUGUUUGGCGAUACUUGUAAAGAAUGGAAUCUGGCUGAGGUGGAGGUGUGUGACUUUGAGGACUAGGUCCAAAGAAGGCAUUGUGGUUUCCAUCUUGACUGCUCUUUCCCUUGGAUAGCUGACUCUUAGGGAAGCCACAUGCCACACCAUGAGCAGCUCUGCGGAGAGACCCAUGCAGCAAGGAAAUGAGGCUUCCAGUCAAGAGCUGCAUGACUGAAUGAACUUGUUACCAAAACACCAGGGGUUUGGUCCAGGUCCUUCUGCUCACCGCAUGGAAAGCUCAUCACUGAGAUGACAAGUAUUGCCAAGGAAGGAUUUAAUCAGGUGCUGCAACCGAGGAGAUGGGAGCUCAGUCUCAAAUCCAUCUUGCUGACCUACUAAAACGAGGGAUUUGUAUAGCAGGGAAGAAAUGAAACAAUGUGUAAGAAAACAGCAACUAGGGAGGGGCACGGAAGCAAUCAUGAUGAAUGAGGGGGCAGCAUCUCAUUGUCUGAAUGCGGUGAUCUGGUGAGUUUCAGUUCUUUGGUACUUUUCUUGAGAGGCCUGAAGUUAGUUUCCUGAGGAAGGAACUCAAGUAAAACAAAUGUAAAUUUCAAGCCAGAAGGGUGAAUUUCUAUGUUUAUCCGAAAAACUGUCUAUGGGACUAUUGGGUCAGUUUCAAACUUGGAAGCAAUUCUCCAGCCCCAGUUGAGGCUUUAGAGAAGUCAGUGCCAGCCCACAGCCUGACUGCAACCCCUGGAGAGAAUCUGAGCUGGAACCACCCAGCUAAGCCUGGUCUGAGUUUCUGCCCCACUGAAACCAAAUAAUACAUUUGGUUGCUUUCAGCUCCUAAGUGACAGGGACACUUAACCGUCAUGAGGCAAUGUAUAACUGAUACCCUACUCUACAUGAAAAAAUCCCAUAAAUACAGAGUCACGUGCUGCAUAAUGACUUUUCAGUCAAUGAUGGACUGCAUCAAUAAUGGUGGUCCCAUAAUAUAAUGGAGCUGAAAAACUCCUAUUGAGAGGUGACAGUGUGCUGGUAGUCCUCAGAGCCCUCGCUUACUCUUGGCACCUCCUCUGCCUGGGCUCCCACUUUGGCAGCAUUUGAGGAGCCCUUCAGCCCACCACUG
rnacentral:lncRNA from 1 species